GACUAUGAUGAAGAAGAGGAAGGGGUUGCUGAUAUGUAAUGAACUGUGGAGAGGUCCCUUUACCAUGUGUCCAUGUCUUUUACAGCAUAUGAUGUCUAAAAUAUCUCUCUGCUUUCUGUUGAACGUGGGAGAAUCUUUUCAAAGUUCGAGUAGUCUGAAGAGAGUUGAAAAAGUGCCCAUAUUAGCAUGGGUGAAUAUUUCUAGUCGUUAAAAAUUAGUGAUGUGGGAGAUGAAGAAAGAUGUUUUGUAUUUGUGUUGAUGUUCUUAUUCUGCUUUGUU
rnacentral:misc_RNA from 1 species